rnacentral:tRNA from 1 species
GGGGAUUUAGCUCAGUUGGUUAGAGCACUUGCCUUACAAGCAAGGGGUCACAAGUUCGAAUCUUGUAAUCCCCACCA